AAAAGAAAGACGACAGGGGCAGUGAUAAGGCGGCAAAAGCGGCAUACUCUUAAAAAACUUCUCAGUUCUCUACACUCGCUUUCACAUCUCCAGCUCUCUCCCAAUCUCCCAAGUUCUCUUCCCCUGAUGUGGGCUUCAUACGAAUCUCACUUUCUAACGUGCAGCAAGCGAAACAAUCGACAGGUUUCGUAGAAUGGGAGUAAUUGGACCAAAUUGUAACCCGCAUGGUUUUUUAAUGCAAGCACCGAAUUAUUCUUCAAUUCGCGUUGCUUGUGUCUCGAGUCUCCAACGGCAUUGGAUUAUGCCAGAGAAUAGUGAAUGUUAUGAGGUGAAGAGUCGUGACGAAACAUUUGCACCCAACCUGCUUGGAGAACAUGUGCAUGGGAUGACUUGCUUGUUGCCCAAAACAAGAUAUAGAAAUUAUUCAGGCUCACUGUAUUUCUCGAUCGUCAUCGUCAUCUGAUUAAGAGUUGGGGACCGCUGCAACUAGCAACUUAAGUUAUAUUUAAGGGGGCUGUUGUCGGAGAAGCCACACCACAUCUGACCCCGAGAUCGCUAAGAGAGAUUUGUAAGAUUAUACUAGGACAUGGCAUGGGGCUGGUCCGUCAGCUAAAAAUAAUUCGCAAGCAGUUUGACCGGUAUCUUUCUAGCAUUUCUUUCCGGGAGAAAAAAAGUUCCUGUUUAGUACACAAUAUGACACGUUUCGGUCACGUUUGCUGAUUCUAGAAGAAUGGCUCAAGAUUGAGCAAGACAUUAG